CGAAGUUCUAAAAUCUAAAUUGACCCACUUGCUUUUCUCUCUUCUAAAAUACUCUGUAUUGAAAACCCCACAUUCUCUCUCCUCAUCCCUUGCCUCCAUUGUUAUCCCUCUCCUCCAAUGCUAGAAGAUUCUAAUUAAACACUACUCUAAUUUUCAAAUUUGCCUCCCCUAAUAAACCCUAACCUCGAAUUUAGGGUAGUUUUGCUCGAUUUUUUGCGAUUUUUGUAGUUCGAAUUUUUUGCGGUUUUUGGGUCGAUUUUUUGCUCGAAAAUAGGGGGUUUUGGCUCAGAUUUGCUCGAAUAUAGGGGGUUUUGGCUCGGAUUUGUUAGGGUGUUUGACUAGUGGUCGAAUUUGUAGGUUUUGGGGUUGAAUUUUUUGAGGUAUUGAUGUUGAAUUCGCUGGUGUUUUGAGCAUAUUGAUGUUGAAUUCGCUGGUGUUUUCCGAUGAAGUCCAAGUUGUUUGUGGUAUUUAUGGACACAUCUGGUAUCUCUAGUUAUGGGGAUUUAAUUAUGGAAUUUGAGGAUGAUGUGGUUAAGCAACAACCGAAUGCAUGUCCAGUAGCGCUCUAACAGAAUUGAAUGAGAGCCAUUUCCAGAGCUAGGUUGAGCAUCCUUUGACUAAACUUGAAGGGAUGCCCUUGAUGCACUGGGGCUUGUCUGCUAUUAUUGCAGGAGGAUGCUCAUGACCCAUGUUGAUUUGAUUGAAAAGCUCUUGAACUACAACAGUCAAUGGUGCUUGUGUCACUAGGUUGCUACAAUGGUAAGGGGCAUUGACUGGUGCUUGUGUCACUAGGUUGCUGAUGCGUGUUUGCCCCUUUGCACUUAAGGUGGUGGAUUACAGAAUGUGUUAGUUAUUGGUGCUGAUGCUCUUUCUCCUUUCGUCGAUUGGGCGAACUUGCAUAUUUUUUGCAGUAUACUUCAUAACUAACAAAAACUUUAGUUUUUAAUUUGUAAUUUAGAAGCCUGUUAGCAGCCUUAGCUUGUAAUUAAGUUUUGAAUUUGUAUUUAAUGUAUACUUUACAACUAACAAAAAAUUUGUUAAAACAAUAUUUAAUAUAGUUUGUAUAUCAUA